AUUGAACGCUGGCGGCAUGCUUUACACAUGCAAGUCGAACGGUAACAGGCCGCAAGGUGCUGACGAGUGGCGAACGGGUGAGUAAUGCAUCGGAACGUGCCCAGUCGUGGGGGAUAACGCAGCGAAAGCUGCGCUAAUACCGCAUACGAUCUAUGGAUGAAAGCGGGGGACCGUAAGGCCUCGCGCGAUUGGAGCGGCCGAUGGCAGCUUAGGUAGUUGGUGGGGGAAAGGCUCACAAAGCCAACGAUCUGUAGCUGGUCUGAGAGGACGACCAGCCACACUGGGACUGAGACCAGGCCCAGACUCCUACGGGAGGCAGCAGUGGGGAAUUUUGGACAAUGGGCGCAAGGCUGAUCCAGCAAUGCCGCGUGCAGGAAGAAGGCCUUCGGGUUGUAAACUGCUUUUGUACGGAACGAAACGGCUCUGGUUAAUACCUGGGGCUAAUGACGGUACCGUAAGAACAAGCACCGGCUAACUACGUGCCAGCCGCCGCAGUAACAC
rnacentral:rRNA from 1 species